rnacentral:rRNA from 1 species
CGUGUAGGCGGCCAGGUAGGUGGGUUGUGAAAACUAGAGGCUCAACCUUCAGACGUCGACCCAAACCCCCUGGCUAGAGUCCGGAAGAGGAGAGUGGAAUUCCUGGUGUAGCGGUGAAAUGCGCAGAUAUCAGGAAGAACACCCGUGGCGAAGGCGGCUCUCUGGGACGGUACUGACGCUGAGACGCGAAAGCGUGGGGAGCGAACA